UUUCCUACUUUCCCACUUUUCCACCCACGAUUCAUUUACAUCUCCCACUCAACCCUUAGCCCCAAUAUCUCUACGGAACUGACGAGCAGAAAAAGAAAAAAAAAGGGAAAAAAAGCCUCGGAAUUUCAGAACCCCUGUUUGAUUUGAUCGAUCCUCUCAAAUUUAUAUCUGCACCAUCACAAUAUCAAUAGAUAUCUUUACUGGAUUUUGCAGAGCUGAUAUCUUUACCUUCCGAAACCCCUUCUCAUUUGGUCUCUCCUCUGAAAAUCGCUUCUUUGUAAUCAUAAUCCCCUAAGAGAGGAUAUCACGGAUUUUGGAUUCAGGUUAGAUAAUUUCGACCAAAAUAGACAUGAAUUCCUGCAUAUCUUUUGCGUGAGUCAACAAAAUGGUUUCCAAUGUUUGAUAAGGACCUUACCAGAAUAGAGAAUUUGUUACCAAAUAAGGGGGUGGCCUAAACUAGAUAUCUUGGGGUGUGGUUCACGUAGGCAGAUGAAGAGAAACCAAUAAUUGUGGUAUCAAAGGGGAUCGAUUUGAAGAAUGGAAGUUGGAAAGUGUCUAUUAGUUCCACUUCAAUUAAACACAAAAUAUACUGCACCGACACGGUAUACAAAUCAGGUUGGCUAAGGGGUUAGUUGCCAUUAAUAUUUGAUAUGUCUAACAUUUUAACAUUUGAUUUUUCUUUUAGUUUCAAGAAAAUGAUUUCAGAAUUAUAGUGCAGAUGCAAAGAAUUCUUUUAUGUUAAGUCCAGAUUCUUUUUGGGUCUAUAUCUCUCUCUAUGUUGUUUGGUCAGGUGUAUAAAACCUAAUAUUUCUCUCAACUAUGUUGUUUGUUUGACAUUCAUUGUGUAAAAUAUCCUUAUCUUUGCCUUAUCUUUGACACUAGCUUAUAGAAUUAAAGAAACAUAAAACAAUCAUCUGAGACUUCUUUUCUGCCUGCGGGUUAAUUCUGGGGCUUUGUUAUGUAAUUCUAUAUCAAACUUUUUACUUAAGUGGUAAAUUUUUUAGAUUUUUAGAUGAUUUAUGCUACUUGAAAAGGUUGAAAUCAUAUAUGUCAGAACUCAUUUGGAUAAUGAGACUGCGUCCUACGCUCGGGGAAGAUGACGAGGUUAUGAAAAACAUCACCAGAAGUUGGGCAAUACUUACCUUUUCAGCUUAUUGAAAUGGAGAAUGAUAUGACGUAAAAAAUGGACCUGAUGGAAGCAAUGGAAUUUGAGCAAGCAUGCUUAAUCGAAGAGUUGGAUAUUCUAUGAAAGGAGAAUUCACAAAUAUUUAGAAUUAUUGAGGAAUGAAGAAUUUGCAGCAGGUUUAAUUGGAGACGGCUAAAACAAUUCUAGACUUACAAGACAACUUCACCACACUACAACGGGAACUCCGGGAGAUAAUGUCUUAGGGCAGAAGAAAAUAUGACCGGGAAACAGUUUAGCUACAAAAAAAUAUAAAAUUGAGGCACUGACGGAGGAAUGAGAGAAAGCAACCCUAGAACUAACCAGCCUUCAUUGCAGAUGGUUGUAGAUUCCUUGAGGAUGGUUACCGAUCAGGUGCAGUUAAUAGCAAAUUCUUUCAGAAAGUAAACUUUGGAUUACUGAACAUGUAAGAUAGCUGCGAAAAGUCGUUUAAGG